GGAGAGGUGCGAGAGUGGUUGAAUCGGGCAGUCUCGAAAAUUGUUGAACCUUAACGGGUUCCGUGGGUUCGAAUCCCACCCUCUCCGCCA
rnacentral:tRNA from 1 species